rnacentral:lncRNA from 1 species
UUGAUUUCAUCACACAAUGACUGUAAACGAUCUACACGACGAGCCGCCGCAAUCACAUUACAUCCAGCACCAGCGAGAUCGAGGCAGAAAUCACGGCCGAGUCCGGCUGAUGCACCGGUGACAAGGACCACUUUUCCGGCGAGGUCGUGCCACGGUUCUAAUUGCUUUGCCAUGUUGAAUUGAUUUUGAAUAAGAUGAAGUGAAAUUGAGAAAUGAAUGUUGAAAAUGGGGUUUUAUGAUUUAUGAAAAUGGGAAUGAAAAAUGGUGAAGGGCAACUAGCAUGAUGUUGGAAGUAAAUUCAUCAUUUCAUUGUAUGUCUUAAAAGACAAGACUGUGACAACUUUAAAUAAUGUCUUUAACGACAAUGAUGCUGUUGUUGAGGAAUAAAUAUCUUGAUCUCCUUCCCUUAUGUUAAAAAUGAAUCUUACCCCUUUUAGAUAGUAGGAAUUAGAAAAAUUGUUCAAAUUUAUGCAUCAAUUGAUAGAGAUAAUACACUAUUAUAUUAGUAUUAUUGAUUGAUUAACAGAUUUAUGGAGGGUUUAGUUCGAAAGAAAUCAUUGUACGUAGUAGUAUACAGCUUUUG